rnacentral:rRNA from 1 species
CUUCGGAACUGAAGAUUUGGUGAUUGAGUGGCGGACGGGUGAGUAACGCGUGGGUAACCUGCCCUGUACAGGGGGAUAACAGUCAGAAAUGACUGCUAAUACCGCAUAAGACCACAGCACCGCAUGGUGCAGGGGUAAAAACUCCGGUGGUACAGGAUGGACCCGCGUCUGAUUAGCUGGUUGGUGAGGUAACGGCUCACCAAGGCGACGAUCAGUAGCCGGCUUGAGAGAGUGAACGGCCACAUUGGGACUGAGACACGGCCCAAACUCCUACGGGAGGCAGCAGUGGGGAAUAUUGCACAAUGGGGGAAACCCUGAUGCAGCGACGCCGCGUGAGUGAAGAAGUAUCUCGGUAUGUAAAGCUCUAUCAGCAGGGAAGAAAAUGACGGUACCUGACUAAGAAGCCCCGGCUAACUACGUGCCAGCAGCCGCGGUAAUACGUAGGGGGCAAGCGUUAUCCGGAAUUACUGGGUGUAAAGGGUGCGUAGGUGGUAUGGCAAGUCAGAAGUGAAAACCCAGGGCUUAACUCUGGGACUGCUUUUGAAACUGUCAGACUGGAGUGCAGGAGAGGUAAGCGGAAUUCCUAGUGUAGCGGUGAAAUGCGUAGAUAUUAGGAGGAACAUC